rnacentral:lncRNA from 1 species
UGUUUGUUUGUUCUGUUCCAACACAAAGCAGAGCCUACUUCAUCUAUACAGACUCAAGGCUCAUCCUGUCCUUUCCCUGCUCCAGCUAUGGAAUCUACCAUAUCUCCAAAGAAUCCUGGAAGAGCCUCUCCUGAGACAAAAUCAUAUAUCAGAAAACUAAUAAGACAGGAAAUUUAAGUACACGUUGAAAGAAAAAGAUACUUUGUUACACGAAGCUGAAGUCAGUGAAACUUGUAACAAGGCAGGCUCAAACAGAGGUACCAACUACAGGUAUUUUAUUUUUAUUUAAUAACAAUAAUGUUUCACUGAUUUCCUUGAGUUCUCAAAGAUCUAAGUAAAUUUUAGUAUGCAAUCCUAUCUUAAAGCUAGGAACCUACAAGAAACAACCAAAUAUCAACCCCAAACAGUGACAAAGUGAUUAUUAGUAGGGCCAAGCUAGGGGGGUGGGAAGGGGAAGCCAUGGUAGCCUACUGCAGGUGUUAAUGCCUGACCUGGGUUACAAUGGGUUCACAUGGGGCUGUUGGUAGCCUGGUCCAGUACUGAGGAGAGUAUCUGUGCAGGAGGGUGGCCUGGUGCAGGCUGGCGAAGCACAGGCAGGGUAAAGAGGGUAUCUCCACAAAGGCAUGGUCUGGCUUCAGGUGAGGAAGGAAUCUGUCUGGGGUCGGGCAGAGGCUAGCGGGUGGGAAGGAUGAGAUGGAGAGGCACCUGGCACAAAGCGUCAGAGCAGAGCUCAGUAAAAGGGACUCCAUGACGAAGAGCAACCUGGCACGGAUGUCAGAGCCCAGACAAGGUAAAAGAAGUGUCAAUGCUGGGUGCGGCGCCAUGUGGUGGCCUGGUGUGUAGUGUUGAGUCCGAGCUGGGGAAAAAGAACAUUUCUGCAAUGGAA